GCCGGUAUGGUGGAAUGGCAGACACGCUAGACUUAGAAUCUAGUACUGAAUAAUAGUAGGUGUGCAAGUUCAAGUCUUGCUACCGGCA
rnacentral:tRNA from 1 species